AGAGUUUGAUCCUGGCUUAGGACGAACGCUGGCGGCGUGCUUAACACAUGCAAGUUGAACGGGACGGAUAUUGAAGCGACUUUUCGGAGUGGUGGAUAUAUUUGUUUAGUAGCGGACGGGUGAGUAGUGCAUGAGAACCUGCCCUUCAGAGGGGGACAACAGUUGGAAACGGCUGCUAAUACCCCAUAUGCCGAGAGGUGAAAGGAGCGAUCCGCUGAAGGAGUGGCUCAUGUCCUAUCAGCUAGUUGGUGAGGUAAGGGCUCACCAAGGCGAUGACGGGUAGCCGGCCUGAGAGGGCGACCGGCCACACUGGAACUGAGAUACGGUCCAGACUCCUACGGGAGGCAGCAGGUGGGGAAUAUUGGGCAAAUGGGCGAAAGCCUGACCCAGCGACGCCGCGUGAGGGAAGAAGGCCUUUGGGUCGUAAACCCCUGUUGUAUGGGAAGAAGGAAGUGACGGUACCAUACGAGGAAGUCCCGGCUAACUACGUGCCAGCCGCCGC
rnacentral:rRNA from 1 species